NNNNNNNNNNNNNNNNGGCCUCCCCUUACCCCCUGGCCAUCCCCCUGCUGUCCCCUGACUCUACCCCUCUGCUGUCACCUCUGCCCUCUAGCCCAUUUUACCUCCUGUCCUGUCAGAGCCCCUGAGCACUACGUACCCCUGAGCCAUCCCAGCAGCCACUGGGCAGUGAGCAGGGCUGAGGGGGCCCCACCUGGGGUCUCUAGCCUCCUCCAGGUUCUCGUGGGGUCAUCGACCCAGCAGCCUCCUCUCCUGCGACCAAGGCCCCUGGGCUGUCCAGUCCCUCGUUCCCACCCAGGGCAGCCCCCUCCUCCUCUUCCCUCCUCCUGCCUGGUGGGGCCCUCCCUCUGUGGCCCCCCCUCCCUCCCUGCCCUGGCCUGGUCCCUGACAUCUACCUGCAGCCCCUCAGAAGCCUUCGGGACUGUGGGGGCCCUGGCCUGGGGGGUGUGGGUGAGGAGCACCCCUGCGGACUCGCCCCAACCCAGGCCAUCCCCCUACGGAGAGAACGCCCCGGCCCCAGAGCCCCUCACCCGCGGGAGCCCCUGCUGAAGGGACUGGACACCCCCCCCCCCCCCCCCCCCCCCCGUGGACCGCAGCUCCGGGUCUGGGGCACGUUCCCGGCAGCCUGUGCAGAGCUGGGACAGGGGGGUGCUGGGGAGAUGCCCCAGGGGAUGUCCUGGGCGAUGGGGUGCAGACAGCUGGCCCCAGCCCCCCCCCCACAUCCUGCCUGGGUCCCAGGACAGGCUCUCACCUUGGCCUCGUGGGGGCUGGGGCCUGGCAGCUGCUUGUCCCUGGAAGGCAAGAGACGCAGAGCCCUGAGCCUCCGGCCCGGCCCCACAGCCUGCCCACCCCGCCCCCGUGCAUCUUGGCCCAGGGGCCUGGGGAGGUCAGGGCUCCCCCCAGGGAGGGCAGGGGCUACCAGCAUCCUGUGGGUGGGCGGGGGCGGCGUUCUGGGGGUUCUGAGAAGGGUGGUUGCUGGUGGUGGGCUGGGCGGGGACCCCUCAGUGCCCCCAGGGGGUGACUUGCCCCCCUCCUCGAGGGACCAGCCCGAGAGCUAUCAGCAUGGCCCGGGUGCCCCGUGA
rnacentral:lncRNA from 12 species